CAGGAAUAAGUCUCGGCUAACUACGUGCCAGCAGCCGCGGUAAAAACGUAGGAGGCAAGCGUUAUCCGGAUUCACUGGGCGUAAAGCGCGUGCAGGCGGUUCGGUAAGUUGGGUAUGAAAUCUCCUGGCUUAACUAGGAGAGGUUAUCCAAUACUACCGGACUUGAGAGUGGUAGAGGAAGAUGGAAUUCCCCGGUGUAGUGGUGAAAUGCGUAGAUAUCGGGAGGAACACCAGUGGCGAAAGCGAUCUCUGGACCAUUUCUGACGCUCAGACGCGAAAGCUAGGGUAGUAAACGGGAUUAGAGACCCCGGUAAUCCUAGCCGUAAACGAUGUAAACUUGGCGUCGGUGGCUUAAACACCAUCGGUGCCGCAGCUAACGCGAUAAGUUUACCGCCUGGGG
rnacentral:rRNA from 1 species